rnacentral:rRNA from 1 species
CCUACGGGGGGCUGCAGUGGGGAAUAUUGGGCAAUGGGCGCAAGCCUGACCCAGCAACGCCGCGUGAAGGAAGAAGGCUUUCGGGUUGUAAACUUCUUUUGUCAGGGAAGAGUAGAAGACGGUACCUGACGAAUAAGCCACGGCUAACUACGUGCCAGCAGCCGCGGUAAUACGUAGGUGGCAAGCGUUGUCCGGAGUUACUGGGUGUAAAGGGCGUGUAGCCGGGUUGACAAGUCAGAUGUGAAAUCCUGCGGCUUAACCGCAGAACUGCAUUUGAAACUGUUGAUCUUGAUGACUGGAGAGGCAGACGGAAUUCCUAGUGUAGCGGUGAAAUGCGUAGAUAUUAGGAGGAACACCAGGGGCGAAGGCGGUCUGCUGGACAGCAACUGACGGUGAGGCGCGAAAGCGUGGGGAGCAAACAGGAUUAGAUACCCCAGUAGUC